ACGCCUGUGAUCCCAGUGCUUUGGGAGGCCUAGGCAGAAAGAUCUCUUGGGGCCAGGAGUUCAAGACUAGUCUGGGCAACAUGGUGCGACACCUGUCUCUACAAAAAAUUUAAAAAUUAGCCAAGUGUGGUGGCACACAUCUGUAGUCCCAGUGACUCAGGAGGCUGAAGCAGAAGAAUCACUUGAGCCCAGGAGGUCAAGACUGCAAUGAGCUAUGAUCACUCCACUGCACUCCAGCCUGGGCAACACAGCGAGACUCUGUCUCAACAAAAAAAAAAAAAAAAAAGGAGAGAGAGAAAGGCAUUUAUGAGCUCUCUCUCAAAAAGGAAACUGAGGCUCAGAGAAGGCAUGAGGACUUGCUGCUUCCCCAGCUCAUCAAGAUGGGGAAACUGAGGCACAAAGAAUCUAACUUGCACAAGUUCAUCUGCUUAGUGAUGGAACAAAGAUGUGAAUUCAGGCAGUCUGGCUUCAAAGUCCACACGCCUAACAACCACACCAGAUUACUAGAUUGCUU
rnacentral:lncRNA from 1 species